rnacentral:rRNA from 1 species
AUUGAACGCUGGCGGAAUGCUUUACACAUGCAAGUCGAACGGCAGCACGGACUUCGGUCUGGUGGCGAGUGGCGAACGGGUGAGUAAUAUAUCGGAACGUGCCCAGUCGUGGGGGAUAACGUAGUGAAAAUUACGCUAAUACCGCAUACGAUCUAUGGAUGAAAGCGGGGGACCUUUGCGCCUCGCGCGCUUGGAGAGGCCGAUAUCUGAUUAGGUAGUUGGUGGGGUAAAGGCUCACCAAGCCAACGAUCUGUAGCUGGUCUGAGAGGACGACCAGCCACACUGGGACUGAGACACGGCCCAGACUCCUACGGGAGGCAGCAGUGGGGAAUUUUGGACAAUGGACGCAAGUCUGAUCCAGCCAUUCCGCGUGCAGGACGAAGGCCUUCGGGUUGUAAACUGCUUUUGUACAGAACGAAAGGGUUUCUACUAAUACUAGGAGCUCAUGACGGUACUGUAAGAAUAAGCACCGGCUAACUACGUGCCAGCCGCCGCAGUAA